UCCCUGGUGGUCCAGUGGUUUAAAAUCUGCCUUCCAAGCAGAAGAUGCAGGUUUGAUCCCUGAUCAUGGAA
rfam:TPA: Bos taurus chromosome 1, whole genome shotgun sequence.